GAUUCUGGCUCAGGAUGAACGCUAGCGACAGGCUUAACACAUGCAAGUCGAGGGGCAGCAUAAAAGUAGCAAUACUUUGGUGGCGACCGGCGCACGGGUGAGUAACGCGUAUGCAACCUACCUAUCAGAGGGGAAUAACCCGGCGAAAGUCGGACUAAUACCGCAUAAAACAGGGGCACCGCAUGGUGAUAUUUGUUAAAGAAAUUCGCUGAUAGAUGGGCAUGCGUUCCAUUAGGUAGUUGGUGAGGUAACGGCUCACCAAGCCGACGAUGGAUAGGGGAACUGAGAGGUUGGUCCCCCACACUGGUACUGAGACACGGACCAGACUCCUACGGGAGGCAGCAGUGAGGAAUAUUGGUCAAUGGGCGGGAGCCUGAACCAGCCAAGUCGCCGUGAAGGAAGAAGGAUCUAUGGUUCGUAAACUUCUUUUGCAGGGGAAUAAAGUGCAGGACGUGUCCUGUUUUGUAUGUACCCUGAGAAUAAGGAUCGGCUAACUCCGUGCCAGCCGCCGC
rnacentral:rRNA from 1 species